rnacentral:rRNA from 1 species
GAUGAACGCUAGCGGCAGGCUUAACACAUGCAAGUCGAGGGGUAUGCCGAUUUAUCGGCAGAGACCGGCGCACGGGUGCGUAACGCGUAUGCAAUCUACCUUUCACAGAGGGAUAGCCCAGAGAAAUUUGGAUUAAUACCUCAUAGUAUAGCACUUUGGCAUCAAGGAACUAUUAAAGUUCCAACGGUAAAAGAUGAGUAUGCGUCCCAUUAGCUAGAUGGUAAGGUAACGGCUUACCAUGGCAAUGAUGGGUAGGGGUCCUGAGAGGGAGAUCCCCCACACUGGUACUGAGACACGGACCAGACUCCUACGGGAGGCAGCAGUGAGGAAUAUUGGACAAU